GACGAACGCUGGCGGCGUGCCUAAUAUAUGCAAGUUGAGCGAUGAAGAUUGGUGCUUGCACCAAUUUGAAGAGCAGCGAACGGGUGAGUAACGCGUGGGGAAUCUGCCUUUGAGCGGGGGACAACAUUUGGAAACGAAUGCUAAUACCGCAUAACAACUUUAAACAUAAGUUUUAAGUUUGAAAGAUGCAAUUGCAUCACUCAAAGAUGAUCCCGCGUUGUAUUAGCUAGUUGGUGAGGUAAAGGCUCACCAAGGCGAUGAUACAUAGCCGACCUGAGGGGGUGAUCGGCCACAUUGGGACUGAGACACGGCCCAAACUCCUACGGGAGGCAGCAGUAGGGAAUCUUCGGCAAUGGACGAAAGUCUGACCGAGCAACGCCGCGUGAGUGAAGAAGGGUUUCGGAUCGUAAAACUCUGUUGGUAGAGAAGAACGUUGGUGAGAGUGGAAAGCUCAUCAAGUGACGGUAACUACCCAGAAAGGGACGGCUAACUACGUG
rnacentral:rRNA from 1 species